rnacentral:misc_RNA from 1 species
GCAAGAGUACCAUUGGAGUAUAUACACUACAAGCAACGACAUCAGAGAAAGUCUGUCUUGGUUACAAUUGACCGCCAUGAGUGGUAUGCACCACCACAGAUAUAUAAGCGUAAUGACAGAUCUGGCUUAUGGACAGUAAAACUGGCUUUGCAGCAGGAAUCCCCACUCUUGGUAUCUGGCAUUUAUCCAGUCGAAAAUCAUGCUGAGUCUUGUACUAGCGAGGUCAGUCCUAAGGACUAUAGACCUGAACAAGUCAGCCAAGAAUCCACAGAUGGACUUACUAGUAUGGAAAUUAGUGGUGAACUUGUUGCUGAGGGACCAAAUGCUCAGGAUGAUUCUGAUAAUGGAACAAAGAAAGGGCGGGUGGAAGAGAACUCAUCAGAAGACGGCAGUGUAGUGGCCGAUUGUUCUUUAAAUGAGUGUAGAGAAGAAAGAUUGAAUGAGUCUGAAUCUGUGGAAAAUGCAGUUCUGAGAGAUUAUCAUGUUGCCGCACCUGUAGAAGCUACAUCAGUCGCUGAGCGUGUGAUCGAACCUACUCUUGUGAUGUUUGAGGUUCAUGUCCCUUCAUCAUGUAUGCUUGACGGUGUUCUCUCGCAACAGUUUUUUGGAACUGGGGUAAUUGUAUAUCAUUCCCAAACAAUGGGCUUGGUUGCUGUUGACAAAAACACAGUUGCAGUACCAGUUUCUGAUGUGAUGUUAUCAUUUGCUGCUUUUCCAAUUGAAAUUCCUGCUCAGGUAGUUUUCCUCCAUCCUUUCCAUAAUUUUGCUCUGGUUGCUUACGAUCCCUCUGCUCUGGGAGCUGCUGCAGCCUCCGUGGUUCGUGCUGCUGAACUUCUUCCUGAACCUGCUCUUCGUCGUGGAGAUUCA